UACGUAGGGUGCGAGCGUUGUCCGGAAUUAUUGGGCGUAAAGAGCUCGUAGGCGGUUUGUCGCGUCUGCUGUGAAAACUCGGGGCUUAACCCCGGGCCUGCAGUGGGUACGGGCAGACUAGAGUGCGGUAGGGGAGACUGGAAUUCCCGGUGUAGAGGUGAAAUUCGUAGAUAUCGGGAGGAACACCAGUGGCGAAGGCGGCGAUCUGGGUCGAUACUGACGCUGAGGUGCGAAAGCGUGGGGAGCGAACAGG
rnacentral:rRNA from 1 species